UGAGCUUGAAAGUGUGAAACACAUUGUACAACACCAGCUGCAAAAUGAAAUCGUUGCUAGUUUGGGCGAGCCUUGUGGCAGCAAGCUUGUGCCAAAGUGAUACAUUUUUCCAAAACUCUUUCGACGCGAUAAGAGGCUGCAAGCAGUUUGAAAAUAUGGCAGGAUACAAUGGCCCAAACGAGUACUUUUCGGUAGCAGAUUUGCGUAACGUUGGCUACACCAAGAACUCCAUGUACUUCCGUCUUGGGUUUGUUGGGCAGAGCGCCCACACGCGAUUCGGUGCAACGCUCUACCCGUACGACAACGACGUACGACAACGACGACGACUUACAUAGAGAUAGUGCUCGGAGGAUUAGGUAACUCGUGGAGCGCUGGAAGACGGCAGACUCGUACGGCAGCGAACGAACAUAAGAACGCGCUGCUCGGUGAAGCACAAACACCACACAUUCUUUCCCGGUCCCAUCCAACGGUAGUAGUGUUGGAAGUGUUCCAGAACGGCGUAGUGCAAGUCACCAUGGAUGGACAGCUGCAACCGUUCCUGACGUUUGCCGACAGUUCAAAGAUACCGGUAAAGUUUAUGACGUUCACCCGCUGGGAGGUGGAUGUGAUCGCGUUCUACGAUUGUCCACUGCUGGAAAGGAACCGAUUCCUCAAAUCUCUACCAUUCAACGGUACGGUUGUCUAAUGUGAAAUGGAGCUAAUGUGAAGUUUGAUAGAAUUCGACCUUGUGUAAAUUGAUAGGAUUCGACCUGUGUGUUGUAGAAUACAUAUAGACGUUCGUCAAACGAAUUUCGGGAAAGCCCAUGCAAUGUUUGUACAACAUUGAAGCAUCACAAAAAACACACGAUAAAAGCAAAGUUCUACAACACAUCGGAAGGAAAAUAAACACUAAAAAUAAAUCUAA